UAAAAAAUGGGAGCUGAGACUUGCUCCUGGGAUAAUGAAAACCAGCAGGGUUUGCAGGAGCUGGUAAAAAACCCCAUUCUCCUCCCAGAGGCAGAAUGAGAACCUAGGGGUAAGGGUUCCCAGCUGUUUCAACCCAGGGAGCUCUACUCUUAGCUCAGCACUAAUUAUAUCCUUUUCUUCUUUUCCAUCUUCUUUUUCUCAGUUUACUUAAUUUGCCGCUGGUAGGCUGUAUUUUAAAGGGACCUCACAGGGUUAAUUGCUUUCUUUCCACCUCUUCCUCCCCGCCUCCCAUCCUUUUCCCCACAAUUUUGGUUUUCUGAAGUUUUAACAGAUGGUACUUUGGAUACUUAGUGAAAAGUUUGUUUGGACAAAGCAUGACAGAAGUCCACUGCAUUCCAUUGAAAUUUUUAAAGUAAAAGGUCCAUGGGUGACCAUGAAAACAAAUGUUUUACUGCCUUUUUAAACAAUCCCAAGGCAAAGGAAGCACAGGGUAAGGCAGUUGUGUUGCAGGGAUUGUACUUGGUGGCUAAGUCGUUACAGGCAAAAUAUACCACCUUAAAAGAAUUAAAUGCACAAGUAAGUAAUUUAAAGUAAAUAAAGAGUUACAAGUAGCCUUUGUAGAAAUUAAUACUACAAAGUUUGGAGGAAAUUCGCAAGAAAAACAAAUGGGUGGAAGGUGAAAAAUUGCUGCU